rnacentral:tRNA from 1 species
GCGGGAAUAGUUCAGGGGUAGAACGUCAGCUUCCCAAGCUGAAUGUCGCGGGUUCAAUUCCCGUUUCCCGCUCAA